GUUCAUCAAACAGUGGAAUAAAGUUGUAAACUGGUAUUCCCGGAUUCUAUUCUACUAAAUCUUCAUCCCCAAUUUGAAUUUGAAUCUUCAAGUAAAAGGAUAUGUGUAUACUACCUGCAACCAGAAUGCCGAUAUUGGUACAUCAUGAGCCACCAAUUCUUCCCAAACAUGGCGAACUUUAUCUGUUCCACCUUGCAUUCCCACAAUGGCACCCGAUAUUAUCCAAUCAGGAAGUACAGGUGGUCUCCCGAUUGACUCGGUGAAUUGUUCAAUCAACUCAGGAGGUUUGCCCUCAUGGAAUGACAUUGCUGGCUGGGUUGAUUGGUGGGAAUUUACUAUUUUGCCCUCUUUGAUGCUUGUGGAGAAGUGGAGAGAGUAUGAAAGGUUUGACUUGUAGUGUAAAAUGGGAAGAAAAAGCACGGAACUUGAUUGGGCUAUUUGAGCUUUUACUCCUAAUUUGGUAUUAUAGAUUUUCGCACUGUCAUGGGGCGUUCCUCGGCUUCCAAAUGCACCAACACCCAAUCAUAAUCAACCCUUGGACGAUGACCCUCUUGCUGUCUGAAAUACCAACUUCAUUAUGGAACUCGAGAAGAUCCCGGAAUGAAAAGGCGAAAAAACUAGGAAUUUUACACCAAAUUGAUAACUGUUGCCAAAUUGAUAUAGCUACCCAACAACUUGUGAAAAGGUGUUCAACGGAUUCAUCACAGAAAUCACAAAGAGGACACAACACAUUUUCGAUAGUGAUGUUCCUAUAUCGGAGGACAGAUCUUGUCGGAAUCCUUUCCUGCUUGCAACGCCAAGCGAAAAUGGGUGAGUUGAUAACCGAACUAUAACCUAGUUAACUGAUGUAAUUAUUGACUGAUGAUUCGGUUAAACCAUAACUGAGUUAAUCGAACCAAACAAUACAAUGUGGUUCGGUAUGUUUCGGUCAUUGGAAUUCAUCAGAUAUUUUUUGUUACAAAAAUUAGGGUUAAAACCAUGGUUGCAAAAGUCGCUAGGCGCUCCUUAGUCGGUCGACCGGGGAGUUGAGAGUACUCGGUCUAGGCGGAGAG